rnacentral:rRNA from 1 species
AUUGAACGCUGGCGGCAGGCCUAACACAUGCAAGUCGAGCGAGAGGCGGACGGGUGAGUAAUGGCUGGGAAACUGCCUGAUGGGGGGGGAUAACUACUGGAAACGGUAGCUAAUAACGCAUAACAUCAGAUGUGCAAAGAUGGGAUGAGCUAGUAGGUGGGGUAACGGCUCACCUAGGCGACGAACCCUAGCUGGGCUGAGAGGAUGACCAGCCACACUGGAACUGAGACACGGUCCAGACUCCUACGGUAGGCAGCAGUGGGGAAUAUUGCACAAUGGGCGCAAGCCUGAUGCAGCCAUGCCGCGUGUGUGAAGAAGGCCUUCGGGUUGUAAAGCACUUUCAGCGGGGAGGCGUUACCCGCAGAAGAAGCACCGGCUAACUCCGUGCCAGCAGCCGCGGUAAUAC